UACGAAGGGGGCUAGCGUUGUCCGGAAUCACUGGGCGUAAAGCGCACGUAGGCGGAUCUUUAAGUCAGGGGUGAAAUCCCGAGGCUCAACCUCGGAACUGCCUUUGAUACUGGGGAUCUCGAGUCCGGGAGAGGUGAGUGGAACUGCGAGUGUAGAGGUGAAAUUCGUAGAUAUUCGGAAGAACACCAGUGGCGAAGGCGGCUCACUGGCCCGGUACUGACGCUGAGGUGCGAAAGCGUGGGGAGCAAACAGG
rnacentral:rRNA from 1 species